AUUUAAGAGGGAUUUCAGUCAGAGGGUAGUCCAUAACUGGAAGGAGCUGCCAAAGGAAGCUAUAGAAGUGGAUGCAAUUACAACUCUUAAAAGACAUUUGGACAG